AUAUGAUUACUAAUCAGUAAGCUUCCACCAAGAGACAAAAUAUCCACAGUAAUACAAUUUCUCUUGAUAGAUAUUAUGAAUCAGUGACGCAUUAUUUCUACUAAAUUAAGCGGGAUAACUUGCCUAUUGGAACAAUUAAAUAAUCUUCUAAAUUUCCUAAUUAACUGACUAACAAUUAUAAAUACAUAAUGGCCAACACCUGUGGUCACUCUGGUGUGAUUGGUGUGAAGGUGGCCUGUCUCGGAAACCUGGACGCAGGACGCUUCAUCCAAGCCAAGGUUAACCAUAACCUCUUGAAGUUUGGCGACAUUUGUCCAAUUCCCGAAAAGUUUGGCCUUUCCCUCCUCGCUAUCCAGGACCAGAGCACCUUCGGCACUAACCAAAUUUCGACACGCAUGAUGAUCAGCGUGGCGAAUGGGUUUGCACCGUUUCCCAAAUGGCAGAACGACGUUGGCGACGUCGUCUUCGUCCGGCAAGACAGGAAACCUCUCACAGCAUUUCAAAUGGAAGCCUUGCACGGAUUCAAUCACAGGAUGCUUCAAAUGUUCGACAAGCAUGAAGGAAAUUAUGGGGAAGUUCAAGAAAUGAUGACCAAAAAUGAGUGGAGUCGUUAUUGGGAAGUUUACAAACAUGUUCAAAUUUGCAAAUUGGAAAAAUCCGGGGAGCCCAAUAGUCAAUUUGUGGUUGCAGAGUGGAAAAAUGCGGUGAACGUGUUAGACGUUUGAAUCUUGUGAUUCGUUUUUAUAAAUUUUUGUAUCCGAUACUCACAAUGGAAGUUUCCCUAUGCUCCGCCAGUUUUUCAAUUUCCUAUGAAUGUAUUGCAUGUACAUAAAUUUAUGCUAUUGAAGCGAUUUCUUAUUUAUACAUACCAAUAAAUGUUCCAUAAUAUCAUAAUUAUUUGUGAAUUUUGGGCAAAGUUGAGUAAUUAAAACAUCAUAAUUAAUGAGAAA